UACGUAGGGCGCAAGCGUUGUUCGGAAUUAUUGGGCGUAAAGAGCUCGUAGGCGGUUUGUCGCGUCUGCUGUGAAAGCCCGGGGCUCAACUCCGGGUCUGCAGUGGGUACGGGCAGACUAGAGUGCAGUAGGGGAGACUGGAAUUCCUGGUGUAGCGGUGAAAUGCGCAGAUAUCAGGAGGAACACCGAUGGCGAAGGCAGGUCUCUGGGCUGUUACCGAC
rnacentral:rRNA from 1 species